GACGAACCGUGCGAACGUUAUUCGGAAUCACUGGGCUUAAAGCGCGUGUAGGCGGGCCGGCACGUCUGGUGCUGAAAUCCCCCCGGCUCAACCGGGGAAGUGGCACGGAUACGACCGGCCUGGAGGGGGGGGUAGGGGGCGCCGGAACUUCCGGUGGAGCGGUGAAAUGCGUUGAGAUCGGAAGGAACGCCCGUGGCGAAAGCGGGCGCCUGGACCCCACCUGACGCUGAGACGCGAAAGCCAGGGGAGCGAACGGG
rnacentral:rRNA from 1 species